CAUCACAAAAGAUCGUGUUCGACUAGAAGAACAAGAGGACUGAUAGAUUUGGGUUUGGUUUGGAGAGUAAACGAUUGCAGUUUUCAAUUGGGCAUGCCUUCUCAGAGUUAUUUUGGCCCUUUCGUUCCUUAGCAUUGUGUGAGUUAACCCGAACCAUUGAAUAUAUAAGAAGGAUCUCCACCACUGUUUCAAUUCCAGAAACCUCUAGCCUCCAUCAAGGUUAACAUCUGCUUUUAGCCGAUAACAAGCUUAGACAUGAAAGUCAACAUCAUGAAAGGCUUGCUCCGAAACUCAAGUUUUGGGAGAAAUCGGAAAAAAGAAGGUGAAGGGAGGGGAGUAGAAGGUUAUGUCGUACAUUCAUCUUCAAAGAAAUUUCCUUGCGCAUGAUCCAAAUGCACGUCACUGCCGUAUUGUUUGACCCCGUAUCAUGAAGUAUGUGAAAGACCCUUAAUAGUAUGCUUAUAUAAUUUUCACGUUGCCCUGCAUUACAUAAAGAGGGGCAAAACUCCGAGGCUCUUAUUCGGAUUAAAGGCGUAGCUCAGUACCUUUAUUUGAGAAGGAACCCAUCCAUGUUCAGAGAUGAGAGUUCUCCGCCAGUCUACUGGUGAUAACCAUUUGAUUCUGCACUUGGGAAUAAAUUUUCUGAUAGCUGAUGAUAUGCUUGGAAUACUUGCUGUCAAGCUAAAGAAAGGCUCGGCUUUGGAAUUUGGGCGAAGUUGCAUAUUACCGGCAUGUAUGUUGAAGGGAAGGCCAUUAACUAUAGUGCACAAAAGAAGGCUGUUUCAGAAUUUAAAAGCACAUUACUAAUAUAGCUCAGAGGUCAAUCUCCACUUCACAUUGAUUGACAACUUUCACAUUGCAAAGUAUUGGUUGUGUUAGCUACAAAACUACAUCCUUUGCUUCAGCAAUUCAGCAUCACACCUAAGGUUAGGUUGCAUCACACAAGCCUGGAGGGAAGCAAAAGCUUUCAAUUUUUAUUAACUCAAUUAUUAUACAUACAUAUAUUGAAAGGUUUCUUCUUUCUUCUACAGCCAAAAAAAAUUGACCUGCGCCGGUUCUUCUUUCUUCUUUAGUCACAUAACCAGAUUGAGAGAGUGGAUUGUUGCUCCUGCAAAUCAUUCCUUGCUUUUGAUCUGCGAAUUUCUAUUUGGUUCCUGCAGUCCCCUUUUUUUCCCUUUUCUCGCUCUCCUCACUGUGAGCUCUUUACCUGAUUUAGGACUUGGGCUCUGCUAUUGCAGUAAGUAUCAAAACCAGGGACUCAGAAACAUAGAGAGAGAUGGGUUGAGACAGGUUUGCUUCCCAGAAGGAGAGUACAGUACAUUUUUUUUUUGGAGAAUUUCUUCGAGUUCAUUCUGAAUAUUUGCAUGUCGCUGAUUUUGGUUUGGGUGAUGCAGGCGUUGCUGAGAUUGUUAUUCAUUUUGAAAAUUUUGGAAAGGAGAUGAGCGCAGUGUGGAGACAAAUUGACUGAGACCUGGCUGAGAUUGUUAUUGAUUUUGAACGAAUCUGUAGAUAAUUUGAAGUUGCUGAAUUUUCAAGGAGGAGCAACGCAUUAUCAAAUCAAAGGGACUGAGGGAUCAACUGAGAAGGAGAGGAUAGAUUUUAUCACAUUAUGGAGUUCAUUAGACACACUUGACCUGAUUGUUUUGCGUUUUGAUUGGGUCCAGUUUGUGACGAGAAGAUUGGGUUGAAAACAAGUAGAACAGGUAGAGGUUCUGGGCGAUUGGUUGGGCUGAUUGGGAAAAGGUGAAGUUUUCUAAGGUUGAAUUGCUCCCAAAAGGCUUGGAAAUCCGGUUUCAAUUGCUCGCAAUAAACUUGGAAAUCUGGUUUCUUUCACAGAAGACUCGAAAGUUGCAUAUACUCAAGAGCUUGGGAAAACCAGUUUUUUAAACUUCUUGACGCAGAAGUUUGACAGUUUAAGGAUUCUGCUCCAAGUAUCUUCUGCAGCCUUGCCUUUCUGUCAAAAGCUGAAAUCAAUUGGGAAGCACGAACAAACAAGUGGUGACUCUGUAUCCUCUACAUCAAAGGGGAAGAAGGUAGAUAAGAUAACUCGGAGAAAAGGAAGAGGGGACGGAAAGCUGUCAUGGUUUCGUUUUGAUUGCGCACAACAAUCGUGACAGGCAAUUAACCAAAAAAAAAAAAAAAGUGACAGGCAAGGUAAACAUGGAACAGCAACAUCAUCACCAUCAGGAACUAAAGCACAGCCUCGCAAGCAGAAAAAUGACUAAACAUAAAUUACUAUUGUUGUACAGCUAUAACUGGAAGAACCAAUGCCUUGAGCCAGCUCCAACAACAACUCCAGCAUUUUGCGCAGCUUUUGCUAACCAACUCCAACAUUUUGAGCUGCUGAAACUGAAGCAAUCAACUAGAGCAUUUUGUACAGCGACAACUGGAGCAAUCACUUUUUUGAACAAACUCCAGAAGGAGCUUUUUCCAAGUCUUAUAACUAAACCAGCUACCUCUUUCAAUAUACUGCAUGCAGCUGCUACUUUUACUAUGUUAAUAGCUCCAACUAAAGCACCCAGCUUUUUUGUACAGCUAACGUUUAUGUAAAAUGUAUAAUAACUCUUUCACUAUUUCAAUAAUGUGUAAUUAUUUCCCUUUUGUA